rnacentral:tRNA from 1 species
GAGGGUGUAGCUCAGUGGCAGAGCAGGUACUUAGCCUGCAUCAGGUCCUGGGUUCGAUCCCCAGUACCGACA